rnacentral:tRNA from 1 species
GGAGAUGUACCCAAGUGGCUGAAGGGUCCGCACUCGAAAUGCGGUAGGCGUUUCACGACGCGCGAGGGUUCAAAUCCCUCCAUCUCCG